GAUGAACGCUGGCGGCGUGCUUAACACAUGCGAGUCGAACGGAAAGGCCCUGCUUUUGUGGGGUGCUCGAGUGGCGAACGGGUGAGUAAAACGUGUGUAACCUGCCCUUGACUUUGGGAUAACUUCAGGAAAAUGGGGCUAAUACCGGAUAGGAGCUCCUGCUGCAUGGUGGGGGUUGGAAAGUUUCGGCGGUUGGGGAUGGACUCGCGGCUUAUCAGCUUGAUGGUGGGGUAGUGGCUUACCAAGGCUUUGACGGGUAGCCGGCCUGGGAGGGCGACCGGCCACAUGGGGACUGAGGGACGGCCCAGUCUGCUACGGGAGGCAGCAGUGGGAAAUAUUGCACAAUGGGCGGAAGCCUGAGGCAGCAGCGCCGCGUGCGGGAUGACGGCCUUCGGGUUGUAAACCGCUUUCGCCUGUGACGAAGCGUGAGUGACGGUAAUGGGUAAAGAAGCACCGGCUAACUACGUG
rnacentral:rRNA from 1 species